rnacentral:rRNA from 1 species
AUACGGAGGGUGCAAGCGUUAUUCGGAAUUACUGGGCGUAAAGAGUUCGUAGGCGGACUGGAAAGUUAGAGGUGAAAGCCCAGGGCUCAACCCUGGAACGGCCUUUAAAACUUCCAGUCUAGAGACAGAUAGAGGUAAGGGGAAUACUUAGUGUAGAGGUGAAAUUCGUAGAUAUUAAGUGGAACACCAGUGGCGAAGGCGCCUUACUGGAUCUGUACUGACGCUGAGGAACGAAAGCGUGGGGAGCGAACGGGAUUAGAAACCCUAGUAGUCC